rnacentral:lncRNA from 1 species
UUUCCAAAGAAGACACCAAAAAGGACAUGAAAAGAUGCUCAACAUCAUCAGUCAUAAGGAAAAUGCAAAUAAAUAACAGAGAUAUGGCUUCACACCCAGUAGGAAGGCAAUACUAAUAAAAACAUUGAAAAUAAGAUGUGUCAGUGAGGAUGUGGAAAAAUUAGAACACUAGUACAUUGCUGGGGGGAAGGCAAAAUGUUGCAGCACUGUAGAGAACAGGUUGACAUUUUCUCAGCAAUUCUACUCAUCGAUUCAUCGAUGUAUACUCCAAAUAAUUGAAAAGAGGCACUCAGGAAGUACUUUAUGCAAAUGUUCACAGGAUCACUACUCACAAUAGCCAAAAGGUGGAAACAAACCAAAUACCCUUAAUGAAAUUAUGGCUUACUUAUAAUAGAAUGAUAUACAUUCAUACAGAGGCAUGAAGUAUGAAUACAUGCUAGAAUGUGGGUGAACCUCAAAACAUCAUGCUAAGUGAAAGAAGCCAGGCACUAAAAGUCACGUAUUGUGUGACUGCCUUUAUAUAAACCAUCUAAAAUAGGUGAAUCCACAGAGACAUAAAGCAGAUUGCUGGUACAGGGGCAUGGGGAGACAGAGAAAUGGUAACUGAUUGCUUAAUGGAUACAGGAUUUUCUCUGGGGCUGAAGAAAAUAUUUUGGAGCUAGAGAGAGUUGGUGGUUGUAAAAUAUUGUGAAUACUACAUUACAAUGAAUUGUGCAUUUAAUUUUAUGUUAUAUGAAUUUAAUUUCAAUAAAAAGAUAUAACUGAAAAGGUAGCUACCCCUAGCCCCAAAAUAUUU